AAGUGGAUUAGUGGCGCACGGGUGAGUAACGCAUAGGUCAUGUGCCUCUUAGUUUGGGAUAGCCAUUGGAAACGAUGAUUAAUACCAGAUACUCCCUACGGGGGAAAGAUUUAUCGCUAAGAGAUCAGCCUAUGUCCUAUCAGCUUGUUGGUAAGGUAAUGGCUUACCAAGGCUAUGACGGUGUAUCCGGCCUGAGAGGGUGAACGGACACACUGGAACUGAGACACGGUCCAGACUCCUACGGGAGGCAGCAGUAGGGAAUAUUGCUCAAUGGGGGAAACCCUGAAGCAGCAACGCCGCGUGGAGGAUGAAGGUUUUAGGAUUAUAAACUCCUUUUGUUAGAGAAGAUAAUGACGGUAUCUAACGAAUAAGCACCGGCUAACUCCGCGCCAGCAGCCGCGGUAAUACGGAGGGUGCAAGCGUUACUCGGAAUCACUGGGCGUAAAGAGCGCGUAGGCGGGAUAGUCAGUCAGGUGUGAAAUCCUAUGGCUUAACCGUAGAACUGCAUUUGAAACUACUAUUCUAGAGUGUGGGAGAGGUAGGUGGAAUUCUUGGUGUAGGGGUAAAAUCCGUAGAGAUCAAGAGGAAUACUCAUUGCGAAGGCGACCUGCUGGAACAUUACUGACGCUGAUUGCGCGAAAGCGUGGGGAGCAAACAGGAUUAGAUACCCUGGUAGUCCACGCCCUAAACGAUGGAUGCUAGUUGUUGGAGGGCUUAGUCUCUCCAGUAAUGCAGCUAACGCAUUAAGCAUCCCGCCUGGGGAGUACGGUCGCAAGAUUAAAACUCAAAGGAAUAGACGGGGACCCGCACAAGCGGUGGAGCAUGUGGUUUAAUUCGAAGAUACACGAAGAACCUUACCUAGGCUUGACAUUGAGAGAAUCCGCUAGAAAUAGUGGAGUGUCUGGCUUGCCAGACCUUGAAAACAGGUGCUGCACGGCUGUCGUCAGCUCGUGUCGUGAGAUGUUGGGUUAAGUCCCGCAACGAGCGCAACCCCCUUUCUUAGUUGCUAACAGGUUAUGCUGAGAACUCUAAGGAUACUGCCUCCGUAAGGAGGAGGAAGGUGGGGACGACGUCAAGUCAUCAUGGCCCUUACGCCUAGGGCUACACACGUGCUACAAUGGGGUGCACAAAGAGAAGCAAUACUGCGAAGUGGAGCUAAUCUUCAAAACACCUCUCAGUUCGGAUUGUAGGCUGCAACUCGCCUGCAUGAAGCUGGAAUCGCUAGUAAUCGCGUAUCAGCAAUGACGCGGUGAAUACGUUCCCGGGCCUUGUACACACCGCCCGUCAAGCCAUGGAAGCUGGGGGUACCUAAAGUAUGUAACCGCAAGGAGCGUCCUAGGGUAAAACCGGUAACUGGGGCUAA
rnacentral:rRNA from 1 species